rnacentral:misc_RNA from 1 species
GAUCAUUACUGUGAUUUACUACUACACUGCGUGAGCGGAACGAAAACAACAACACCUAAAAUGUGGAAUAUAGCAUAUAGUCGACAAGAGAAAUCUACGAAAAAACAAACAAAACUUUCAACAACGGAUCUCUUGGUUCUCGCAUCGAUGAAGAGCGCAGCGAAAUGCGAUACCUAGUGUGAAUUGCAGCCAUCGUGAAUCAUCGAGUUCUUGAACGCACAUUGCGCCCCUCGGCAUUCCGGGGGGCAUGCCUGUUUGAGCGUCGUUUCCAUCUUGCGCGUGCGCAGAGUUGGGGGAGCGGAGCGGACGACGUGUAAAGAGCGUCGGAGCUGCGACUCGCCUGAAAGGGAGCGAAGCUGGCCGAGCGAACUAGACUUUUUUUCAGGGACGCUUGGCGGCCGAGAGCGAGUGUUGCGAGACAACAAAAAGCUCGACCUCAAAUCAGG